rnacentral:lncRNA from 1 species
CUCCCCCCGCCCGCCCUUCCGUCAGGAGUGGACGUCCCUGCGGGCUGCCUGAACAAAUGGCGGCGCUCGACAGUUAGCUGUUAAGAAAGCUUACAUGAUUUUCAAAGCUGAAAAUAUUUUCAAAGCAGUACAUGCAUAAAUAAAGCACUUAAGUAACUUCUUCUGUCCCCCCGGUAGCAGCUUGCAUGGGAGAAGAAGUUAAAAGGACGGGACCAGGAAUCAGCAGCCCCCUGUGAUUGUUAGAAUGGAGGGCCUUGAAUAAAUACUAUCAGGAGAGUGUAAGGAAGUGAGAACCUGCAAUGAAAAGUUCUUUGUAUAUGAGCCAUAAUUAUGAGAUUGUUGAAAGUGCAGAAAGUGAGGCACCAAGAGAAGGUAGAUCCUCCACAGGUGUGUG